CGGUCGGCUCGACUAGAAGACGAAGGGGGCGUCUCCCCUGCUUCCUGCGGCGUCGGAGGCGAGUUGAGGUGGUGGCAGGCUGCGGCUACGAAGGCGUCAGCGGUGGCGGCGGCGCCAUGGCAGGGCUCGCAGGAUCCCUGCUGCCUUGGUGAUCCCGGGCUGACAGCCAGAGACCACAGCGGCUCAGCUCCUGGAGAGCGAGGGUUGAAGAAAGCAGAGGGCAGCCGCCCGCGCCCGCUGGCUCCCAUUAGGUCGGUUCCUGCAGCGGUGCCCGGUGGCCUUGGCGAAGGCCCUGUCCAGCAGAGAUCAUGUAUUGCCUCCAGUGGCUGCUGCCCGUCCUCCUCAUCCCCAAGCCCCUCAACCCCGCCCUGUGGUUCAGCCACUCCAUGUUCAUGGGCUUCUACCUGCUCAGCUUCCUCCUGGAACGGAAGCCUUGCACAAUUUGUGCCUUGGUUUUCCUGGCAGCCCUGUUCCUCAUCUGCUAUAGCUGCUGGGGAAACUGUUUCCUGUACCACUGUUCCGAUUCCCCGCUUCCGGAAUCGGCACACGACCCCGGCGUUGUGGGCACCUAACAGCCAGCCCAGUUAGCUUUCCAAGGAAGCAGAAGACGGGAGGGGAGGCAUUGACAUAGGUCAUAAAGCAUUGGAGUUUCAAAUCCCGCGGCCCUGCGGGUGCCACAUUCCUGAUGGCGCCUUUUUGGCCUGUGACAUUUUAUCCUUAUAAUGUGAAUAAUAGCACUGACCGGUGCUUUUAUCGUAGAGUCCUGUAGUCGUGGGUGGUCUUGUGGUUGUGUGUGUUCUGUCCCCAUCUUGGCCCCUGACUGGCAGGAUGGCCACCCCCCUCGCCUCAUUCCCACGAGGAGCCUGCACCCAUCCUGGUCAACUGCCCCAGCAUGAUCCGGGCAGAUAAAAUGCCAGCCUCAUUGUCACCUCUGUGACCCUUCCUUGUCAGGGGUUCCUCCCUUCUCAGAGUGUUACUGACUCCUCCGUCCCUCUCUUGGCUUCCUGUUAGUUCUCUUUAGCCCUUUUUUGGGGAGCACCUGUCCAAGACAGGGCUCAGUUUUGCACUUAUCUCGAAUAUAAAGAGAUUGCUGAUGCCCGAGAGCCUCGCUUUUUCAUUCUUCUUCCCUGGCCGGCAGGCUAGACAGAAUUGUGUCUUGACUGCUGUCCACAAAUCUUCAGUAUUUUCCCCACUUCAUUUUGAAGGAAGAAGUAACAGAUACAUGUUGCUCUUUCACCUGGGAGUCUGGGCUCCUGCUCAGCAGCCCAGCUUCGCUUCCUCUGCCCUUCCUCCUGCCUUUCUCAACUGUCGCAAGGAGGGGGCCUCAUUUUGUCUCCCAUGCAUGCUCUGCAGGAUUGAUGUGUGGUGUGUUUACGUAGAUCUAGCAGUCCCCAGCUGAGUGAAUGGGAGAGUACUUGUGUGUUUCAUAACAGCCACGAUCCCCUGAUAGGUGUUUGGAUAUUUUUUGGUGUGGUGUGCUGUGUGUGCGCGUGUGUGUAUACGUACGUGUACAAGUACAUGUGUACAUCCUUUUUAAAGAAGCUUUAUCGAACGUGUUGUGAUUUUGAGGUGUAGCAAUAGCUAGCUUGUAGGGGCCGCUACAGUUGGUAUUUAGUAUGGGGAUUGCAGAGUGACCAGCGCACUGGACUCCGAGGUGGUUCAGACGAGACAGAGGGGAGCGGUGGCCAUCGUCCUCGUGCCAGGAGCUUCUCCGGUCCUGCGCGUAUAGACUGUAUACGUUACGAAGAAUACACGGGAAGACUUUGUGACUGUCACUUGCUUUUUUCUUUUUCUGCGCUUCAGUAAAAGUGUUGGCACAUGAGACUGUCUCCUGGCCCCUGCCCGCUGGGGAUCAGCAUGGUUGUCCUUCCAGUCUAAACCAUCCAUCUUUCUCUUGCCUGAAGGGGGAGGGAGGUGGGCCAGGCAGAGGACAGAACUGGAGGCAGUCCAUCUAGGGGAUGGGACUGCGGGGCCACACUUGUGGAACAUUUGGACUGCUAUUCUGGAGCUUUUAUUUCUGGUGUGUUCGUUGCACAGCUGUUUGAAAUGUUUAAUAAAGCUUUAUAAACUUUACUCUGUGGUUUUAUGUGGCUGCAGUCCAUUUGGGUCGUGGUGUUGGAUUUCUAAGUUGGUGGGGGGCAGGGGGUAGCAUGGAGGGGCUGAGUCCUUGGCGCCACAGUACCUUAGGCUGAAAAUUUGAUCUGCUCUCUGGAGAGCAGAUGGUGGGAUUGGGGGAGGGGGAGCAGGGGGCAGGCCAGGCGGUGAACAGGAGGGAGUCUGAAAGUUUUCAGAGAUGAGACAUUUGCGUUUCUCAGCUCCCAUGGCUUCUCGCCUGAAACUGUUUCCCUCCGUAGGAGAUUUGAGUAACCGAUCCCUUGACAAACAACUUAAGACAGCUGGAGCUCUAAUCAUCAAGAAUUUUUAUGGUGCUGCUUUUGAAGUAAAAAUAAAGUGAAACCCCUUAUGGCAUUUCAAGUGGAAAAAUAAAUAAGGUUGGCCGUCCACGCAGGGGGCUCCGGGCGAUGGCUGGAAGUGCGGGAUUGGCGUGGUUCUGUGCCGUCAAUGUGCACGUGCUCCCAUGGCCGUGACCUUUGAGACAAAGCUGGGUGGCUUGCCAGGGCCCUGUGCUGGGUGUCCUCCUCUCCAUCUCUUCUCCUUCUAGAAAACAUAACAGGAACACUGCCUGUCCAAGGCACAGGGCUGUUGUCAGAGUUUAUUGUUGUAAAAGGGCUUGGGUUGUUUCAUAAAAGGUCAUCUGUUAUACCUAGAUUGGUAAUUUAUUGCUAUGAAGUUUUGUGUAGUUUUCUCCUGCCCUUUGCAAUCUCCCCAUUGUCAGUGUGUAUCCCUUUUUUCAUUCCUACCAUCGCCUAUCAGUGCUUUUCCUUUUCUUCGUCAAAACUUGCCAAAGGUUGGUUCAUUUUGAAGGUGUUUUCAGAGAACCAAGCUUAUUGAUUAUAUCUGCUGGGUAUUUUCCCUAUCUGAUGCUUUUGUGUUUUUACCUCUGCAUUCUUUUUUUUUCUGCGUUUCUGGAUGUAUUUUGUGGUUCAGCAAAGUCUUGACGAGUUGAGGAGUGUUACACGUGGAAAGGAUGGUUUGUUCAGCAAACAUUGAGUCCCUGUACUGGGCUUGCUGGGGAUUUCAGGGGCAAGACCCAGGCCUGACUCUCCAGGAGCGCAUGACUCUAGCCUAGUGGGAAGACUUAAGAAAAUAGACAACUGCAAAUUCCAAAAACAAAACAAACAAACAAGGCUUUUGUGGCCACGCUCUCCUGUGGAGGCACCUGGAUGAUAAAUGAAGCCAAGAUUAUUGCUUACUUUGCUCUCCCUCAGAAAGCAGCUUUCUGUCAUAGGUCAAGCUCACUAAAGAGUCACAAACAGGCCUCCCUCUGAAAGAUUUGUGGCCCUUUGCAGCAGGGAGCCUGCAGCCCACCCUUUCCCAAGGUGAUGUCACAUCGGCGUUCUGUUGCCCAGCACUGCUCUCCACCUGCCGAGGCAGCACCAGCAGCACCCUGCCCCCUCUGCCUGAGAUGCCUUUCAGGAAAAUGAGAAGUGGAUACCUCUUCUGGAAAAGAGCAGGGUACCAGGUCUUAGAAAACCACACCCUGCAAUUCUGCCAGUCGCCGUGGUUCCUAGUGUUGCUCAUGUGGUACCUGGUAACCACAAGAUCCCAUGAGGCCUAGGUCUGGGCUUCUUUAGGAACUGGUCUGUGCCCUGCUCUGCGCCUCAGUUUCCUUGUAGGUAAGAUGUGGGCUUUGGAGCAAACACAGUCUUCCUACCCCUAAUAUACUGGGAAUCCUUUCUCUGAGGAUCUUCGGGUCCUCCUGGAUGCAUUUGAGGAAGGUGAUUGAGCUCUGGGAAGGUGUCACUGCCCUUGCAGGGCAGCCUGCAUUUGCCUUAUACUUUAAUGAUUGUACCACAUGCGCCUAGAUAUGCCUCUGUCAGGAAGCCUUCCUGGACUCUUCCCUCUCCCUAAAGAUCCAGUUGCCUAGAUGACUUCACUCAGCCCUCUGUUGAGUGCUAGUGGUCAUGCAGACUUUCUCUUUCGCAGUGAUUGGGCUCCCCCGACCUUCCUAGGGGGCUUGCAUUGUUAUUUAAUCCGAGGUACUUGUCAGAAUCCUGUACAGGACCAGGCCUUGGGGUCACACAGUGGACAGGGUGGACCAUCUCUGCCAUCAGGGAGUCAUCCAAGCUAAUGGGAAAGGGGAUGACCUUGGGCAGAAAAUCCCACAGAUAGAUAUAAUAUGGACUGUGGCAGGUGCCCUAAGAGUGGUCUAGGGGGGACCUGGUGUGGGCUGGGGAGGAUUGAUGUUCAGGCUGAGACCUGAGGACAAGUGUAAAUGUUGGAGCAGUGAAGUAACAAAUGAGAUGUUAUUUCUCACCAUCUAAUCAAGCAUCUCUGCUUACAGCUGAAGAAACUGGGCUGAAAGCAAAAUGAAGGACCACCAGUAUCUGGCUGCCCUGGAGGGCUGUAUUGGGAGAUAGUGAGGGGGGUUGAAGGUUGACGUGUUGGUGGCGGUCCCCCAAACUCAGUCCUGAGUGAGAAGUCUUCAGUUUCCAACUGACUGGAACCAUCACAGACAAGGAUCUGAUGGGAGUAGGGGGUGACCCAAUCAGAACAGCAUUUAAUUUAAGGUGGGAUUUUUUUCAGUAGGGAACAGGAUAGCAUUUGAGCAGUAACAGCAGCAGGACUGUCAAGAAGGUCACUGCCCUGUCUAGAUCAUUGGGAAUGGGGAGAAGUAGAUCCAAGGAGCCAUGGUGGGUGAGGAGGGGAAGGCAGGAGAAAGAGCAGGCUGGGGAGGGAGGACAGAGAAAGAUGAGAGACUCCCAUUGAAUAGCUGCAGGAAGUGAGGUCAGGGAGGGGUCAUCCCUUGUGUUCAGUUGGCUGCGGGAGCCAGAACCCAGUCUCCUGGCAUCUAUUGCAAAGCUCACCCCUCAUCCCCCAGCCCCCUAAAGGGAGAAAGGGUCACUGCUCUGAAAAGAGGGAGGAACUAAGCAGUGCUGCCCUCAGCAAGCCAGGGAAGGUGAUCCUGACUAAAAGCCAGAAGAGGGGCAGAGUUUGGUCUGCCAGGCUUCAGGGAGAGAACUCCACAUCGCGAGAAAAACUUUGAUUAUAGAGCGGGCUCAAGAUGAAGGGGAGGAGCUGGCUGAGCAGCAGCUGGAGGCUUCAGACAGAAGCCCUGGGUCUCCCUCUCGGGACUCAGUGGGCGGGGACUUGGGGAACACUUUAGGACCGACAAACCUUGAGCGACAAGGUUUCAGGGAGCCCGGGCCCUAUGCCCCCACCUCUUCGACCACACAUCCCUGAGCCUCAGUUUCCUCACUGGCAAAAUAGAGAUGGUAACACCCCCUGUAGCCUGGCUCAAGGCCAAGUCUUCACAAAUGUUACUGCCUCUCUUCUGUGCCCUACCACCCUCCACCGACCCUUACUGGGCUCAGGCUUCAUAGGGAUGUGGUAUGAUCGUCCAGCUCUCCCAUUCAUUCAUUCCUGCAGGAGCAUUGCCAGGCCCUGCGCCCAGCCCAGAACCUGAUAAGACCAUGCCCUCCGUGAGGAGCUCCUGCAGCAGCGGGGAGGGCAUCGAGGCAGUCCUGCAGGUGCAUGAUUACUGUGCUGUGUCAUUGGGGCUGUGUGGAGUUAGGGAGAGACCUCAUUUGCGAGGCCGUAUGUCAGCACCUCAACAUGAAUUCCCUUAAUUAUUUUUUACAAGCCCCGAAAUGACAAGAUCCUAAAAGGGAGAGGAACACCUAGAUGGUGCUCUUUCCUGAGAGGCCAGAACCCUGGCUUUGCAUCCCUGCUUGGCCACCAGCUCGCCUAGGACGGUCCAUGGAUUUUUCCCUCUUGGAAAGAAAUCACUGCCCAUUCGGCCUCCUCCUCAUGAGGAACUGGUGCGGGGAUGUUUUGAGAGUGCCCUGUCAGAUACGGGGUAAGCACGAACCUUCUCCACAGACUAACCCUUUGAGCGGUUCUGGCCUCUCACCUCUUUUCCUGGACAACCUGUGGAAGGUCUACAGGGGGACGCCUCACUGCUUCUUCUGAAGCUAAACUCUGCUGAUCCCCGCCCCACACUGCUAGUGGCCGCCCUCUAGGGCAGGGCGGGGAGCUGAGGCCCUGGGCCUGAUCCCCACCCCCUUGCCACGUGACCUUGCUCUCCUCUGCUCAUUCUUCUCCAGGCACCGCCCCCCAACGCCCAUCUGUUCACCUAGGAGGGGUUGGCCCAGGAAGUCUUUAACGUUUCGAAAGCCAUCUUCUGUGAAAUAUCAGUGAACUUUAUCCUUGUUACUUCAGUCUUAAAGGUAUUGGUUGAAAGAAAGUAUGUUAAGACAAGCAAGCAUUUAAUCAAAAGGGUUUUUUGCAUUAAAGAAUAAACUUUACAUCUCUGGGGUGCAGAAGUGUCAAGAAUCUUAGAGUCAAAGCAGACUUGGGAGGGUCUCUGAGGGAGGAAGACAAACAUAACCCUUCCUUGGUUCCCUGUUGCUUGUGGUCCUGACUCAGCUUGGCUGUCAAAGCCCUGAACCACCCUUGAGGGUGGGGGCUUGAUCUUUGUCCCUUGACCAGGCACAGCACCUGCCUGACCAGGCCUGGAUAGAACCUGCUGGUUGGCUGGCCAGGGCCGUGGAUGGGUGGAAGGCUCAGUCAAUCUCUAGACUCCCUAAGGAGCUAAGUGGCCCUCACUCUCCUAGAAGUGAGGGAAUUCGAUGUGCCUCCCAAGUCUCCUCUUGGCAACUCCGAAGUGGCAGUAUUUUCCAGCCUCUAGGGUCAUAUUUUACACACAGAUAUCACAGACACUAAUACGUCACAAAAGAUACGUGAGAAGAACCUUGUAAAAGGCUCUAUAGCCUGAUAUCCUUCCUGUGGCAACAGGUGGCUGUGAAUCACCUCCCCUCCCUGGGCCUCAGUUUCCCCAUGUGUAAAAUGAAGCAGUUGGACUAGAUAAUCCUUGAGUUCCUUUCUAGCUCUAGCAUCACCCUCAGAUGCCCUGGUACCCAGAACAGUAAUUGGACAAGGGGCAUGGUGACCCCAGGAUCUGGGUCAGUCCACAUCUUGGAGCAUGGCAGAAUCGAUGGCUGCAGCCCCCUGGAAGCUGAACGUGGCAGGAACUGGCUGAGAGAUUUUUUUGCUGAUGGUGAAAUGUCCUGGCAGAGUCUAUGCAGGUAGGUUGAUACAGGCGAGGGGAGGGGUUGGGCUGUCCCUCCCUUGUGGUCCCCGAGUAACAUAUCCUUGCAGAGUCAGAAGCUUCCAGGACUGUUUGUUGGGUGCCAGCUAGAUUCAGCCACUCAUAUUGGCAAAGUGGGUGAACCGUCUUUCCGCACACUGUCCUGGCAGGGCUUGCAGGACUUUCUGCUGCCACCCCUUAAAUGCUUCCCUGCAAUUCACCGUUACUGUGUCUAGAAUCAUACCUUCCUAUAGCCUUUUGGUUCCCUGUCCAGGUGGCAUACUCUCUGAGGAUGUUGUGGCCCUGAUGCCAUAAUCAGCCAGGAAUAACUUAGCUCAGUGUCAGAGCCACAAGGGGAAGACUUGUCCAAAGUUGGAACUCUGACUAUUGAAAGAAAAAUAAUAAUCCAUUUUCAACCUCACCUCAGAGCACACCCCCAUAUUCAAAAACUUUUGAUCAGAAAGGAGACAUAAACCCAUUAAAAACCAGAGAGGAAAAAAAAAGACAAACAGAGAGAAAAGGAAUUGGAUAUUUAAAGUGUCUGAAAGGGGAGCCCCUCUAAGCUAAAAAGCAACAAAAUGCAAGAAGGCAAAGACCGACCAAUUUGAAUACAUCAAAACUAAGUAUUUCCAAAGUCGAACAAUAUCACAAGCAGAACCAAAAGGCAGAGUGGGUAAAGUAUUUGCAGAUCCAUACUGUGUAAAAGAUCACACGCAGAAGCUUAACAGUGAAAAUGCAACAGAUAGGUAUGUAAUUCAUGUAAACAGCUUACAGAAGAGGAAAAUAGAACUGACAACAUUUUUUGAAAAAAUAUUCAAUUUCACUAAUAACAGAAGAUCAAAGAUAAAAAACAAAAAAGAAGCACUAGUUUUCACCAACAAAUUAGGGGAAAAAUGUUUAAGAAUACUCAAUGCUGAUGAGGGUACAGUGGAAGAGGCACUAAGUGCGAAGGGGAAUGUGAAUUGGUGUAAGAUUUUGGAAAGUAAUAUGAUAGUCAAAGAGAGGAGAGAGAUGAAAGUUUCAAGAAAGGGCAAAUGGCCUAUAUAUUUAUACAACAUUUAUUGAGUGUCUACUUUGUGUCAGGCAUGGUGCUGGGUGUUAAAAUGUGAAGAUAAAUAAGAUAUAUUGUCUGCUCUUGGGCACACAGUCAAAGAGGUAGAAAAACACAGAUUCUAAAAUGAUAUGUAGUAAGAAGGCCAGAGAUAUGCUUGGGACACAUGCAAAGCAUGGAGCAGCUGGGGUGGGUGGUACAAGUGUGCAGCUUUAUGGGAGUAUCCAGGGAGGUUCCUAGAAGAGGUGCCUGGAUGAGUAGGAGUUAUUCAGGUAGAGGGCAGAGACAGAAGUGAGAGGCAUCACGGAUGAACUCAUAGACAGGGUUGCCAAAGUGUGAAAUAAGAGGCAGGGGAUGGAGAAGGCGGGACCAGAUCACCUAGUGCCAUGACUGUCUAAUUGAAGAGUUUGGUCUUUUUCCUCUUGACAACAGGGAGUCACUGAAGCAUUUUGAGUGGGCACGUGCCGUGGUAAUAUUUCUGUUUUAAGAUGAUGACUCUGGUUACUUGGAGACAUUUGGAGGUGUGAGAACCAGUGAGGAGAUGAUUGCUUUGGUCCAGGUAGAGAGGGCAAGGCCUGAAUUAGGGUGGGGGCCAAGAGGAUGAAGAGAAGGUAAAGUUAGGAGAAGCUGCUGACUGACUGUUGCUGGGGUCAAAGAAAGAGAGUCAAGGAUGCCUCCCCUGUUUGUGUCUUGGGCGGAUAGAAUACCCAGGAGAAAGGGCAGGCCUGGGGGGCUAGAAGAGGAUCGUUGAGCUCAAUUUUGGACAAGUUGAAUGAAAGGUGGGCAUCCAGGUGGAGACGGCCUGUGAGGAACUAGGAGAGAGCUUGGAUCCCAGCAGAGAUUUGAAUGAAAGAUUUGGGUUGUGACUGAUGGCAGUUGUAGCCAUGGACUUUUGUGAGCUGCCCUAGGAGAAUGUGGCAGCUGAGAAGAGAAAGGGGGUCUAAGACAGAGAACCUCUCCCCCAUUUAAGGGUGGGCAGAGAGAAAGAAAAGCUCACAAAGGCAAAAGAGAAAGCAGAAAGAUAUGGAAAAAGCACCUGGAGCCUGUGUUGGCAUGGAAACCCAGGGAUGUGGAGCGUUUCCAAGAGAGAAUAAUCAGCCAACAAAAGAGAAAAGCCAGCUAAGUAAGGACUGAGGGCACGCUGGAUGGAGCAGUUAGGGCCCCGAUCCUCACAGGGGCAGUAGUAAGGACUGAGGGCCCGCUGGAUGGAGCAGUUAGGGCCCAGAUCCUCACAGGGGCAGUAGUAAGGACUGAGGGCCCGCUGGAUGGAGCAGUUAGGGCCCAGAUCCUCACAGGGGCAGUUCCUGUGAGAGAUGGGUCAGAAGCCCCCACAAGGUGGGCAGAGGAAAGUGAAAGGGGGAGGGAAAGCAGGCAGCAUGGCACCUGUCCUGGGGAGUUUGGAAUAUGGGGGAGAAGCUGCUAGGGCUAUGAUUUGAGUCAGGACGAAAUUCUGGGCUGGGCUGAGAGGAAACAAGGAUAGACAUGAUGGAAAAGAGGUUGAAAGGGCUGUUACCUAAAGUCCUCUUUAGGCAAGAUCAAAGGGCAUGGGUGGUAAGGAGGAAUAAUGGCUAUCGGUGACCCUGACUAGAGCUGUUGUCAAGUAAGAAAGUCUACAUGCCAGUUUGGAGCUCACAGAGGAAGUGUGGACAUCUCCCUAGGGGGCAGAUGGAGAACUAGGAGAAGGUGCAGAGUUCAUGGAGCAGGGCCAGGCUCUGAGCUGUGACUGACACUUCAGGGAUGGAUGCAGGAAGAGGAUGCUGCUGCGGAGACUGGGAAGCAGUGGCCGGAGGAGAGGACCGAAAAAGUGGGGGCCCUAGAAGCCCAGGGAGGAGAGAGUUUCCAGAGGUCAGGGUGGCCAUUUAUGUGCCAGAUGCACAGAAGUCAGGGCAGGUGAGAGCAUCCCGUGGACCUGGUCUUUGGGGACCCCUGCCAUAGCAACUCUGGGGGAGGGGGAGAAGCCCAACUGGGUGGGGGUGAUCUGGAGACUGGCUGAGAAAGCAGGAGGGAAAAGGGAGACCUGAGAGGACAGAAGUUUCUAGAAGGUGCUGUUUCUUACACACUGACAUUUGGAGGGAGGAGGGCUAUGCGAGGACAGAAGAGCAGGGACAGGUAAUGAACGGGGCCCCGGGAGCAGUGGGAUUAAGUGUAUAGGUGAAGGGAUUAGUUGUGUUCGUGGAAAGGGGAAAAAUUAAAUCAUGUACAUUUUACCAAGUAACCUGAUCUCUGUGUUUUUCUGGAGGUUGUUUUUAUGCCCUCCCAGUACUGACUACAGCUCUAAUUAGCAGUAGUUUCAUCCUGCCUGAUGUCUGGGGCUGUGUCUUAUUCAUUUUUGUACCUUUUGGUACCUAGCAACAGGCAACGAGCUAGGUAGAGACAGAAUAAUUGUUUUCUGCUUGAAAUCAAAUGUCUGAAAUGGAGGUUCAGAAUUUUUUAACCACAAAGAUUUUGUGACAAAUACCAAGGAAUUAACAAACAGGGAAAUAAGAGUCAAGCUGUCUGUAUGUGAGGCUGUCUGGGUCUCAGGAAAUGCACUCUGCACUCUGGUGUGGGCACAGCUCUUUAUAGUUUUUAUGGUGAGGUUGUGACCAUUGUCUCAUCUGGUCAUGGCAAACCCACUUUCCUUCCCCUAGUGAGGCAGACAGCUACCGUUAGUCCCAUUUCACAGGUUAGGAAGCUAAGGCCCGGAGAGGCAGGAUAGAGGGACGGAAUGAUGGGCAUUGAAGUCGGUGGGGAUAGGGCACAAUCUUGAAUGCUUCAUUCAGGGUCUUCACCACCACUACCUGGUGGUAUCUCCUAGACAUUGAGGAAUUCUAUUUUUUCCAAAGUCAAGAGGGAGCCUUGGUCUAACUGGCUGAGCUCGGGCCUCAUUCCAUCCUCUGACAGGACUCGGGUGGUGAGAGGCAAGACCUGAAGGAGAGGCCUCUGUGGCUUCUGUGUGAGAGAGCAUCCCAUGUCCCACCACAGCCACGUAAAAUAGGGAACAGGAAAUCUCCCUAAACAAGCGUUGUUAGGGUGGAAUAAGGGAUGCUAGAAAGCCCAACUCCACCCGCCCCCCGCCAGACAUCCAUUAUAGGAAGUAACCAGGCAGAGGCAGGGAGACCUGUUAGGAGGCCAGGGUCCAGAUUAAGAGAGGGAGAGGCCUGAACUAGACCAGUGGAUAUGGAAAUAGAUCCAAAACUUGGAGGUAAGAACCAGAAAUGAUGGAUCAUUAGCUAUUAGGGGGAGAGAGAGGGUGAAGACAAAGACUCCCAUGUGUCUCUGGGGUCUUGAUGGUGGAGAGACCUCUGGGAAGGGGACCACAGCAUGGGGAGCCAGUGUGAGGGGCAAGACAGUGGUCUCAGAUACAGCCAAGGGGUCAGGGUCAUAGCCAAGUGGAGCCCAGCAGGCACUUGGAUCAAGGGUCUGGGGCUCAGGAAGAGACUCUACUGGAAGUACUGGCCCAGGGCCCAGGAAGUACUCCCCUGACUGCUUGAGUAAUGGGAGCCCAGAGAAUGAGUGAGAUCACCAGAGAAUGGGGCAGGGCCCAGGGCAGAAUCAUGAGUUACAGUGACAUUUGAAGAACCAAUCAAGGUGUGGGUAGGCGACAAAGGAGAAAGAAAAGGAAAGGCCUGAGACGGGCGACAACCAACCAGAAGAGUGGUUGCCAUGGAAACCAAGGUAGUGAAGAGUUUCAAGGAGAAAGUAAUCAACGCUGUCAAAUGCAGCAGAGAAUUCCAGUAAGAUAAAGACAGGAUUUUUUCUUUAGAUUUGAUGAUGAGUAAGCUUUUGAUGACCUUAAUAAGAGCAUUUUGGAGGAGUGAUGGGGCAUAGGCUUAAAUAAUGUUGAGAUGUGAGGGAGAGGUGAAUCUGUCGCCAAGAGUCCUUUGAGGAAUCUGGAAAGAAGACUUGGAGAUGUGAAGGACAAGGGUGGGAAAGUUGAGUGUAGGAAAGGCAGGAGCAAGUUCAUAGGCAGAUGUCAACGCCCAAAUGUGACGUGUGGUUUAGUGACGACAAAAGUUUAUUCAUUCUACAUAUUCUAGUUUACCACCUAUUUUGUGCCUGGCAUUGUGCCUAGCACUGUGGAUUCUGUGGUGAAUGAGUUAAAAUAGGCAGAUUUCCUGUUCUCGUGGAGCUUGUAUGGUAGUAGGGGAGAAAGACAUGAAUCAGAUAAUCACACACAUAAAUGUAUAACUUUUGACAGGCACUCCAAAAGAAAAGUGCCAAGUGCUGGAGGGUGCACAACAAGGGGACCUGCCCUAGGCCAACUCCAGGAGGCUUCCCUGAGGAGGUGACACUUGAACCAAGUUAAGGAGACAGAGUUAACUGGACAGAACAAAUUGGAGAAGAGCAUUCGGGGCAGAGGGAACAGUGUGUGCAAAGCAAGGUGCUGUGAGACCAGAGAGGCAGGCAGUGCUGGCUGGGCAGAGCUUUAGAGGCCAGGGCUGAGCUCCUGUGUCCAUCAUGAGAGUGAGGGACACGUGCCCGAGGCCUGCCCUAGUAUUUCCUGUGAUCUGAGACUCUGGCUGGUCCAUGGAGAAGUCAUUAGAGGAAUCACUUAGGGAGACCAGGUAGGAAGCUUCUGUCUGGACACAACACAUUCUGGUCAGUCUUGGUGCUGGAUGGAUUGAAGAGGGGGAGGGAGAGGAGGAGGUAUUCCAGAAGUCCCCUGAGUUUCUGGCUUGCCUUACUGGUGGCGUGGCAGUGCUUUUCUACAAAGAAACUAGGCCUGUGAGGCAGACCCCAAGUCUGGUGGUAGACAGCUGAGGCACCCAAGCUGGGACGUGGGGAGGAGGUGGCUGAAUGCAUGGACCUGGAACACAGAGCCUCUGAGACCGGUUCAGAACUCCUGAGGGGUCCUGAGUGGAAAUGUCAGUUGAAGUGGUAUCAGGUUUCUGGAGCAUUCUGAGGGGAUGAGGGAGGCUGAGGAAGAAGAGGCCAGGCACCAACGACUGGGGCCUGUAAAAGGAAAGAACGACCCUCCUAAGGUACAGAAAAGAAAGGGCCAGAGAGGUCUUUCCCCAGAAAGAUGGAGUGGUCAUCAGUGGGUAUGUGCAGAAAGGUCAGGGGUCAAGGGCACAUCCACAAGCCCCUCCAAUGUGCAACUGCACAAUCACCAUAGUGCCCCUGGAAUUGGGCAGCCUGGGGUCCCUGCUGAUUGCCACCCCCAGGGCCCAUGGGAGGCCUCUGGGGACCUUAACGGAGGCAGCUUUUGUGGGGGGGGGGUGAUUAAGGAGAGGAAGGAGAGAGGCAGCAAAGUCUAGGCCCUUUAAUUAAAUUUUAGUCUUCAAGGAAAGAGCAGUGCUGGCAUAUGAAUAUUCUGAGGGGAUGGAGCCAGAGCAAUGGAGUGAUUGAGGAUGGAGACAAUUAGUGAAAUGGGUUCCCACAGGGGUUGGGUUCAAGUGUGGUGAUGGAUAAAUUAGUUUGGGGCAAUAAUGUGUAUUUGACUGAAUGGGGCAAAAUUUAAUUAUUUACCUUUUAGAGGGUAACUUGAUCUCCAUGUUCUUUUGGGAGCUUUUAUCUGACCUAUGUACUAACUACAGCUCUAAUUAGCACCAUUUUUAUCCUGUCUCAUGGCUGGGAUCCUGUCUUCUUCUUUUUUGUGUUUCUCAGCACCUAGCAACAUGCAGUAAGCUCUCUGGGUGCUGAAUCAAUAUUAUCUGCCUUGGAAUGAAAAACCUGAAGUCAACAUUCACACUUUUUGACCAGAAAGAAUCUGUGACGAUUCUCCGGAAUUAUGAUGCAGGAGAGAAUUGGGGUAUUAAGUCAUGGUGGCAGGGGUUUGCACGGGUGGGUAGGUGGAGAAAAAGUAAAGAAGUCGGCUCUCCUCAUCCUUAUAAGCUCUGUGCCAUUUAUGCAUGUUCACAUUCAUCAUCUCAUGUGAACUUCACCUUCCCCCACAAGCAACAGAGCAUCACCCUACAUCAUAGAGGAGGGAACAGAAACUGGAGAAGCAAGUGCCUUUCUGACAUAGAGCACAAGUAGCAGGAGCUGGAUUCAACCUCAGUCCAUCCAGGAUCACAGUCCUUCUUCCCAGGACCAGGUUGAGCUGAGAGGAAGAAGAAGAGGGGUCUGUGAGGUCCAGGUGGAGACGCUCCGCAGGCACGUGCGGAAGGUUGGAGACAUGAUGUGUACAAGCUGGAGGUGUUGCUCUCAGCUAGUGCGCCCUGUGGGACUCCUGGUGUAGCCGACGUGCUCUGCCGCAGUGUUCCUUGCAGCUGGCGACUGGCGGCCUUAGGAUUACACAUGCUUGAUUUUCUUGUUUCCUAUUGAUUGACUAUUAAAAUGUUUCCAGUGUCGUUCCAUUAAGACAAACCUGUAAGAGCAUCUUAUAAUUGUUCAUUUUGCACAUGUACAAGUAUUUCUCUGGGAUACAUACUUAGAAAUGGAACUGAUGGGUCAUAAGGUAUUUAUAUCUUAAAUUCUAAUAGAAAUUUCUGAAGUGUUCUCCAAAUUGCCUUCUAAUGUUAUCUCCUGCUAGCAGUGUGUGUGUGUCCAUUUCCCCAGACCACGUCCAAGUUUUCCAUUUUUAACCAGUCUGAUGAGUGAGAAAUAGUAUCUUGCUUUAGUUGGCAUUUUUCUGAAUUACCUGCAAGACUGAAGUCUUCAUGUGUUUACUGUCCAUUUUCAUUUCCUCCUCUGGAUUGCUUGUGCAUAUCCUUUGCCUGUUUCUUUUUUUUUUUUUUUUUUUUAGGUUUUUUUUGUCUUUUUGCUAUUGAUUUUUAAGAGUUCUUUAUUUGAAUAUUAAUACUUUGUCAUGUAUAUUGCAGAUGUUUUCUACAUUGUGAUUUGUGUCAUUUAACUGUGUAGUAUCUUUUUGUCUUAGAGAAAUUUUAACUUUGAUACGAUCAAAUUUGUCAAUCUUACUUUUAGGCCAUUUUUACAGUCUUAUUUAAGAAAGUAUUCCCUGUAUCAAGGUCAUAAGUAUUUACUGUAUUUCCUUCUCUAAAAUUUAUAGUUUCUGUAUACAUACAUAUUUAAGCCCUUAUACUAUAUACAAAAAAUAAAUUCCAUAUGUACAAAUCUUAGGAUCUAACUUUAAUUCCUCCCCAUUCCCCCCAACACCAUUUAUGGAAUAAUAUAUCAUUUCUCCACUAAUUUAAAACUGCCUCUCUGCCUGACACUAAAUUCCAAUGCGGGUCUAUGUCAGAGCUCUUUCUGGUCCACUGAUCUAUUUGUCUACUCCUGAGCUUGAUAAUAUGCUUUGCUAACUGGCAGAACAAAUCCCAACCUCUCUGUUGUUUUUGUAAAAUUGCCUUGAUCGUCCUUGCAUAUUUGUCCCACCACAUGAAUUUUAAAAUAGCCUGUCGAGUCUCAGGAAAAAUUCUGCUGGGAUUUUAAUUGGGAUCACAUUGAGUUUUAGGUAAGUUUGAAGAAAAUUGGCACCUUUAUCAUAUUUGAGUCUUCUGCCAAUGCUUAUUGCUAUUAUCUCUCAGUUCCGGUCACUCUCAUGUCUUUCAGGGAAGUUUUAUGGUUUUCUCUAAAGUCUUGCAUAUUUCUUGAUAAAUUUAUUCCUAGGUUUAUUACAGGUUUUGCUGUCAACUGUGAAUAGGGUCUCCUCUCCGUUUAUUUGUUUGGCCCUUGUUUUCCCAUAUUUCAUUUCAACCUGUUUACCGAUCAGUGGGCUUGACUUGCAGACACACACGCAAAGUGAACAUUCUUCCUCCGGGGGCACAAAUAUGCAAGCACCACCAAACACACAGAGCCGGCGUAAUUGGCUGAAAACAAAUUAGAGUAUUUUCAGAUUAUACUUUAAUUAACGAAGUAAAGCAUGAAUACAUUUUCCUUUUGAAAGUAGGACAAUAUGAAUGUAACUAAAGUUUCCUUUGGCCACCCUCUGAAAUCCUAGUUUCCCUCCCUCACCCGCAGUUUUAUGUGUCUCCUUCCAUAGAAAUGUAAGUAUCAAUGGAGGUAUUUUGAAUGAAUCAUCGCACUCUAUAGAGAUUUUACUGUAAGCUGUGUUUUUUCACUCCAUCUUAUAUUUCUAAGAUAUGCUGAUAUAAAUAGCUCUUGCCAGUUCCUUUUAGUAGCUGUGUUAUAUUCAUUCCCAUGAAUGUGCUACAUUUUUCCUUCCUAAGAUCCAUGGACAUUUAGUUGCAUCCUUUUCUUUCCUCCAUCAUAAGCAGCGCCACAGAAAACGGCCUUACACCUGCCUCUUCUGUAAUGUUUCUCUAGGGUGGUGAUUGAGAAGUGGAAUUUGUGUUCUCAGGGUUUCCACAUUUUUAGUUUUAGACGUUACCAAAGUGUCCUCCAUAAUUUCUGUACCAUUUAAACUUCUAGCCAGAGGAUAUGGGAGGACUCCCCACACCAUAAGUGAUUGUUUUAAAUGUUUGCCAAUUUGCUGGGUGAAAAAUUGAAUAAUUUUUUAAAGUUUAUACAUACCUGUUUGCUAGUGAGAUUUUCAUGUGUUUUAGGCAUUUGUAUUUUCUCUUUUCUGAAUGAUCUGUUUAUUUUUGCUCAUUUAAAAAAUUAGGUUGUUUGUCUUUAUCUUAUUGAUUUUUGAGUUUCCUAAUGUAAUCUGGAUAUUAAUCUUUUGUGUGUGUGUGUGUGUAUAUAUGUAUAUAUAUAUAUAUGGCAAAUGUUUUCUUCCAGCUUGUCUGUUGCCUUCAAAUUUUGUAGGGGCUUUUGUUAGACAGAAGUUAUCAAUUUUGACAUAAUCAAAUUUAUCCAUCUUUUCCUUUAUUCCUUGUAUUUAUAUAUCAUGUUUAGGCCUUUCUUACUCCUAAGGUUUAGGUAUACUCUGUAUUCCUUUCUAGUAAUUUUGUUUUUAUUUGGGUCUUUUUUGUGUGGGGGGGUAUGCGGGCCCCU